GUCAUGUAGGUAGAUUCGAAAUUCAAAUUCUGGGGUAUUAAAUUCAAGUAUUUUAGUGUAGUUUUCGGCGUUUUGAUUGUGAAACUCCUGAAAGGUCUACUACCCAACCAGAACUGAGCAAGAAGUGAUCAGGACUGUGUAGAAGAUAAUGGUUUCUCCACUUCCAAAAUUAUGAACUAUAAGAGGCCCAAUCCUGUCGAGCUGAACCUGAUGCCAUGAACCGAUGAGAGGUGUGAGAAAACCCAAUGUAGUGUGAGCAGAACAGG